rnacentral:rRNA from 1 species
GGAGACCUGCGGGAGGCAGCAGUGGGGAAUAUUGCACAAUGGGGGAAACCCUGAUGCAGCGACGCCGCGUGAGUGAAGAAGUAUUUCGGUAUGUAAAGCUCUAUCAGCAGGAACGAGACAAGACGGUACCUGACUAAGAAGCCCCGGCUAACUACGUGCCAGCAGCCGCGGUAAUACGUAGGGGGCAAGCGUUACCCGGAAUCACUGGGUGUAAAGGGAGCGUAGACGGCUGAGCAAGCCUGAAGUGAAAGGCGGUGGCCCAACCCCUGGACUGCUUUGGGCAC